GCUGGGAUUACAGACGUGCACCACCACACCUGGCUUGCUCCCCAGACUGUCUGCAGAAACCUGCAUCUGCAUACAGGAAACGGAGGUCUGGAAGAGGAGGCAGGUAUAGAGAGCGACUGGGUGGGGAAGUAGCAUACAGAACUCCCUCCUUGCAUUCCCACUGGCUGGAUCUCAGUCAUAUGACCACACCUAACUGCAAAGAAUGCUGGGAAAUGUACUGUAGUUCUGUGCGUGCGAAUAAGAGGAAAUUCCUUUGCUGAAUAGCUACAGACUCUCUGAUCCAUUCACUGACGGCAUAACCACAGUUUCUCUCUCUGCCUGCGUGCUCUUCAAACUCCUCAUCUCCAGCUCAUUCCCCAGUCUGGCCUUCAAGCUGGCUGCCUUUUCCUCCCACCUCCUCUUUUGAAGAGGUGGAGUCUCAGACCCCUUGCUAUGGACUCACUGAGGGGAUGCAGGCUGUAUGGGCGCCUUUCUGCUGCUGGGGCGAACACCACUUAAAUGAGAAGGGGCUGAUUCUGGCUCGCAGUUCCAGAGUUUGAACGCAUGACUGGCUGGCACCCAGGUAGAAGGGCACGGUGGAGGAAAAAGCAGAACCGGAGCAAGAGAGCCAGAAAGAUACAAAGGGGCCAAGGACAAGAACGUACUCCUCCAGGUCGCAGCCUCAGUACCCUGCUUCCUCUAGUCGGGCCCCACCUCCUAACACCACAUUCAGCUGUGAACUCAUUUACGGAUUAAUCCACUUAGGAGAUUCAUGCCCCACGAUCCAGCGUAAUAGGGGUCACUUCCGAGGCUCAGCUUUAGGACGGUAGGAAAUAUUUUCCUUCCUCCAUUCUCAGCACCAGGUCCCCACAGAAGAUGGCUUACUCUCCAAGGCUACCAUGUUGGGAGGAAGCCCAUGCCGCAUGAGGAGCGCUGUGUGGGCAUUCCAACAUUACAGGCUGGGCGGCUGAGAUAACAGACAUUCAUUAUCUCGUGGUUCCAGAGGCCGGAAGUCUGGGAUCAAGGUGGCCGUAGGACAUGCAGUGCCAGGUAGAGGAAAACCGGCCAUCAGCAGCGUGAUGGUACGGCAGGCUGGGGACGGUGUGUUCACGGUGCCGUGAUUAUUUCUCAGCCUUUGGAUGAGCCUGAUCCUGGGGCUGUGAACUUCACAACCGUUCUCAGUUUUUUUCCUUCCUUUCCAAUGGCAGGCUGUGGCUAGGGCGGGCUGGAGUUGGGUAUUUCCCUUCUCUUGUGCGGGGGGCUAGCGCUAAGUGGAGUUGAAUAUGUCUCCUCCCGCAGGUCAUUUAUGCUCCAGUAAAACCUCAGCAGGUUAGGCUCUGGUUAACUAGUCUUGGUUGACUAGUUUCUCCUGAGGACAAGCCCUGUUAAGAGCAGAAAGCAGAAGGCAGAUACCUCAUGUUCUUGCCCAUGAAGGAGCUAAAAGGUUUGAUGUCGUGGAGGCACGGAGCAGACCUGCGAUCCCUGAAAGCCGGGAAGGAGAGAAGGGGAGGGGGAGAGAGGGAGUUGACAACCGGGGUCAAAACAGAGUUAGGGAGGAGGAAUAAUUCUAGUGUUUGCACACAGUGGGAUGACUAUAGCUUGCAGAAAGUUAAUACGUUUUGUGUAAAGAACUAGGAGAGAGGAACUUGAAAUGAUAAAUGUUUAAAGAGAUGAAAACGCUACUUUUGUGGAUGUGAUCCACACAUACACACACAGUCAUCACCUGCACCCCAUACAUGUGUGCAAUUAUUAUGUGCCAUUUGUGUGUGUGUGUGUGUGUGUGUGUGUGUGUGUGUGUGUAUAUAUAUUAGAACAGAAUGCCCUGGCACAUUUCCAAAUUGUUCCUUUCCUCUCUUUCUUCCGUAAGCACAGUCAUUUUCCUCUGAUAGUUAUUGUGCGACUCUCGUUGAGCUCCCAGAGGUAAAAAUCACAGAGCACGGGCUCCUUCUCCAGAAACUCUUCUUGUGGAGUCUCCAGUGAGUCAUUGGUUGCCCAGGCUGGCUUUGAACUCCUGGACUCAACUGAUCUGCCCGUCUCGGUUAUGUCAAGUUCAGCUGAGACCACUUGGUGAAGGUGUGUUUGGGAUACGAUAAGACGCAGACUCACGUCACUUGUCCAGAGCCUCCCCGACACUGGUGAGCCUCGUGCAAUUAGUUGAAGGCCUGGAGAACAAAGACUGAGGCUUCUGAAGGAGAGGCAAUUCUGCCUCCAGAUUGUAAAACAGAAGUGCAGAGCCUUGUUCCGAGUGUCAGCCUUUGGGCCCGAGAGUGCAGCCCAAACUUUAGCUGAGUUUCAGCCUAGUGGCUUGACCUGUGGAUUUUGGACUCACAACCCCCAGCAAUGCUAAUUCUUUAGUGUCUCUGUCUGUCUUUCUGCCUCUCUGUCUGUAUGUCUGUGCCUAUGUCUCCCUCUCUCUCUCUCUCUCUCUCUCUCUCUCUCUCUCUCUCUCUCUCUCUCCUGUCAAUGGGCAUUUAAAUUGCUUCUAUUAUUUGCCAGUUGUGAAUAAAGCUGCUAUACAUA